rnacentral:lncRNA from 1 species
AUACCGCAUUAAUGGGGUAAAGAGUCCAUCUCUGUACACACACCAUAUCUAAUGAUGCAUACAAACAAGAAAUUAAUUUCUACCCACUGUAAUCUUGCUAUGUUAUGUUUGUGAAGCCUGAUGACCAGGUCAACAUUAACAGACUGUAGACACUUGAUAUUGCAGGCAUGUAGUGCAUUAGAAAUCAUUCUCAUUGCAAGUAUCUUGCAUACUUCAUUAAUGGUGUAAUGAGUCUAUCUCUGUAUACACACCAUAUCUAAUGAUGCAUACAAACAAGAAAUUAAUUUCUACCCACUGUAAUCUUGCUAUGCUAUGUUUGUGAAGCCUGAUGACCAGGUCAACAUUAACAGACUAUAGACACUUGAUAUUGCAGGCAUGUAGUGCAUUAGAAAUCAUCACCAUUGCAAAUAUUCAACUAAAACAAAUUCAU